UCGGCCUGCAGACUACCGCAGUGGUCCCGUCCGGCUCCUUCCCAGCGCCGGGGUCCGAAUCAGCAGCAGCCGGUGCGGGCUCGAUGACGAAGAUGCAUUGAAAGCAGGAGCUCGGAGCCGGUAGGACCGGAGUGGGACCGGAGCGGCUCCCAGCCCGGUGACCGCUGCUCGCUGGGAGGGAGGGAAUAUAUCCAACACGCCGAUAAGCGUCCACAGAAGUGCUCCCGUGGGCUUGUUUCCGUUUUUAAUGCGGCGGAGCUCCACGUCAGUCCGUAUCCAGGCUCCCUUCCUUCCGCUCAGCCCCAGGUUGCGUCCCGAGGAUCCGCAGCGGGCGGCCGAGCUCCCAAAGCCGAAAUGGCCGCUUGUAUCCGUGAGGCUGCGGCUCUGUCUCCGGCUCCUCCGUGAACGUGUCUGUUCCUUGUCCCUCUUCGUGUCUCCGUCCCUCCCUCUUCUGCUCUGGUUUCUCGGUUCCUCCCGCUGUGACUGGCUGCCAUCCCUCCUCUGCCGGCCGCACCAGGAAGCUCGGCCGCAGGAAUUUCCCGGACCCGGCGAGGAAGAGCGGCUCGCUGCCGCGUUACGUAGCGGCAGGAAAGUGGAGCUGCGGCGCCCCCUGGUGGAAGAAGCUGCUCAGUGCACGGACAGACGGGCAGUUUGUUUGUUUAUUUGUUGCUUUUUGCUUCUUAUUUAUCUCAAAAUUUAGAUUUUAUUGAUUUAAGUAAUGUAUUUUUCAUUUAACCAUAUUUUGUCAAACAGGUUUUGAGCUUCAAAAUUAAGAUAAAUCCCCUGUUGUGUCUACUUUUUACUUAAUUACCAAGAAACAUUUUAUGUCCUUUAAAUUUAUUAUUUCAUUGUUUUAUGUAUAAUUUGUAAAUUAAUAUACACUAAUUUAUUGGCUAUCAUUCUAUUAGUAUAAAAAAUGUGCUCUAUUUGUCACAUAAAGUUUCAUGUAAUUAUGAAUUUUUUGGUCUUCAUUAUCCACCAUUGAUCACCUGAUUGCUGGAUUGAGAAAAUAUUUCCUGUAAAUAAGAAUAAAAGACUAAAAUAUUCUGAUUUUUUUCUAUUUUUGAAAUAAAUAUUAAGAUCUUA